UUUCCGUAGGUGAACCUGCGGAAGGAUCAUUCAUAAUAAGUGUUUUAUGGCACUUUUUUAAAUCCAUAUCCACCUUGUGUGCAAUGUCAGGGCUGAUUUUUCUCUCGAGAGGAUCAACCCCAAACAUCAACUAUAUCUCAACCCUUUGUCUGAAAAAUAUUAUGAAUAAAACAAUUCAAAAUACAACUUUCAACAACGGAUCUCUUGGCUCUC
rnacentral:misc_RNA from 1 species